GGGGAGGCUGUGAUGUUGAAAACUACCUAUUUUACGAAGGGGGUUUUUUCGCUCUUUUGUGAUUAGAAAAUCACCAAUGGAUCCUUCUGAGCCUUCUU
rfam:Gossypium hirsutum cultivar TM-1 chromosome 1, whole genome shotgun sequence